GCCUACGGGACGCACCAGUGGGGAAUAUUGGACAAUGGGCGAAAGCCUGAUCCAGCAAUGCCGCGUGUGUGAAGGAGGUCUUCGGAUUGUAAAGCACUUUCACCGGUGAAGAUAAUGACGGUAACCGGAGAAGAAGCCCCGGCUAACUUCGUGCCAGCAGCCGCGGUAAUACGAAGGGGGCUAGCGUUGUUCGGAAUUACUGGGCGUAAAGCGCGCGUAGGCGGAUAGAUAAGACAGAGGUGAAAUCCCGGGGCUCAACCCCGGAAUUGCCUUUGAUACUGUUUAUCUUGAGUGCAGAAGAGGUAAGUGGAAUUCCGAGUGUAGAGGUGAAAUUCGUAGAUAUUCGGAGGAACACCAGUGGUGAAGGCGGCUUACUGGUCUGCAACUGACGCUGAGGCGCGAAAGCGUGGGGAGCAAACAGGAUUAGAUACCCGAGUAGUC
rnacentral:rRNA from 1 species